rnacentral:rRNA from 1 species
GACGAACGCUGGCGGCGUGCUUAACACAUGCAAGUCGAACGGAAAGGCCCCUUUGGGGGUACUCGAGUGGCGAACGGGUGAGUAACACGUGAGUAACCUGCCCUUGACUUCGGGAUAACUUCAGGAAACUGGGGCUAAUACCGGAUAGGAAUCCUUGCUGCAUGGUGGGGGUUGGAAAGCUUCGGCGGUUUUGGAUGGACUCGCGGCUUAUCAGCUUGUUGGUGGGGUAGUGGCUUACCAAGGCUUUGACGGGUAGCCGGCCUGAGAGGGAGACCGGCCACAUUGGGACUGAGAUACGGCCCAGACUCCUACGGGAGGCAGCAGUGGGGAAUAUUGCACAAUGGGCGGAAGCCUGAUGCAGCAACGCCGCGUGCGGGAUGACGGCCUUCGGGUUGUAAACCACUUUCAGCAGGGGCGAAGCUUGUGGUGACGGUACCUGCAGAAGAAGCACCGGCUAACUACGUG